CCCGCCACAAUAGCAGUCUGUCAAAGUGACUGGCUAUAGUCCGGAGGAGGCUCAGAGUGACCCGGCUUUAGGAAACAGAGCUGCCCAAAUUUAAUGGACAACUCUGUGCCGAAAAGUCUGGAACACAA